CCUCCCGCAGGGAUCCCCGGCUCCCGCUCCCGUCUGCUCGCCAGCCUUUCCGAUGCUCGCUGCGCCCCUCGCCACCGCCGCCGCCGCCCUCCUGCCGCCGCUUGUCCCUUGGAGCCGCCGCCUAAGUCGGGGAGGAGAGAAUGACCGAGGUGCUGUGGCCGGCGGUCCCCAACGGGACGGACACUGCCUUCCUGGCCGACCCUGGUUCGCCCUGGGGAAACAGCACAGUGACUUCCACCGCCGCCGUCGCCGGCCCGUUCAAAUGCGCGCUGACCAAGACAGGCUUCCAGUUCUACUAUCUGCCAGCUGUCUACAUCUUGGUGUUCAUCAUCGGCUUCCUGGGCAACAGCGUGGCCAUCUGGAUGUUCGUCUUCCACAUGAAGCCGUGGAGCGGCAUCUCCGUGUACAUGUUCAACUUGGCCCUGGCCGACUUCUUGUACGUGCUGACCCUGCCGGCGCUCAUCUUCUACUACUUCAAUAAGACCGACUGGAUCUUCGGGGAUGCCAUGUGCAAACUGCAGAGGUUCAUCUUCCACGUGAACCUCUAUGGCAGCAUCUUAUUCCUGACCUGCAUCAGCGCACACCGGUACAGCGGCGUGGUGUACCCGCUCAAGUCCCUGGGUCGGCUCAAGAAGAAGAACGCGGUCUAUAUCAGCGUGCUGGUGUGGCUCGUCGUGGUGGUGGGCAUCUCCCCCAUCCUCUUCUACUCUGGCACCGGGAUCCGGAAAAACAAAACCGUCACCUGCUAUGACACCACCUCGGACGAGUACCUGCGAAGUUAUUUCAUCUACAGCAUGUGCACGACCGUGGCCAUGUUCUGCGUCCCCUUGGUGCUGAUUUUGGGCUGUUACGGAUUAAUUGUGAGAGCUCUGAUUUACAAAGACCUGGACAAUUCGCCUCUGAGGAGGAAAUCCAUUUACCUGGUGAUUAUUGUACUGACUGUGUUUGCUGUGUCUUACAUCCCUUUCCACGUGAUGAAAACAAUGAAUUUGAGGGCCCGGCUGGAUUUUCAGACCCCAGAAAUGUGUGCUUUCAAUGAUAGGGUGUAUGCCACUUAUCAGGUGACAAGAGGCCUAGCAAGUCUCAACAGUUGUGUGGACCCCAUUCUCUAUUUCUUGGCAGGAGAUACUUUCAGAAGGAGACUCUCCCGAGCCACCAGGAAAGCUUCCAGAAGAAGUGAGGCAAACUUGCAGUCCAAGAGUGAGGACAUGACACUCAAUAUUUUAUCGGAGUUCAAGCAGAAUGGAGAUACAAGCUUGUGAAGAUGCAGGAAUCCCCAAACACCCACUUUGUGACAUGGUAGGAUGCUUCAUAGAGCCAAGCGCCUUUUUUCCCCUUUCAGUUUCUAGUGAGUUUAGAGAAACUUCAAACCAAGAAGGCAGUGAAUUAACAAAUAAAAUAGAAGUGGAAAUGCCUACACCCACGCUUAGCUUGUUUGGAUUUGCUUUCUAACCAGAAGUUAGACUUCUGGUCUAACUUUUUUCGCUCAAGGGCUUCCUUCUUUCUAACCAGAAGUAUGUAACAUAAAGUUAUACUGCCCUACUUAAGUAUUUACUUUCUCUUCUGCCUUUAAAAUUUGCAAACUCUUCUCUUUAAAGUGUACAUGAGUACUGAAGCUAUUUGGAUAUUAAUAUUUUCUCCAAGAAAACUGACCACCGGAAACCUGAGUUUGUGAUUUGUCUAGUCUUUAUUGUCUUUAAUAAUCUGAGGUAGGAACAAAUUGAAACUUCACAUUCUUAGAUUAGAGUCAUAGACCAAAAUACUAAAGUCAGUUCAUUCAGUAGCAGAUGAACAGAUUGCUGCCGGGUGUCUUUUUUUGAUCCUGUAAGCAUAGGUGGUAGCUGGCUGAAUUUCUCUGGAGAACUGAAUAGAAAAAUCAAGUCAAUGAAUUUACAAGUCUCCCAAGUGAUUAUCUCACGAUGGUUUCUAGAAAACUGCUUACUCUGUGUUGGGUGCUAAAUGUUUGUGGAUGGAAUUAUCUGUAUAUUAUCUUACAGGUAAAAUGCCUUCAAAAUAAUCUAAGUGUAUGUACUUUGCUUGUAAACACCACAAACUCUGUUAGACUUCCUGUGACGAAGAGCUUUUACUUGCACCACCGCUGUGCACUGCCCAAGGAGUAUGUUUGUGUUCCAGUACAAAUGCUCACUUCCAUCUGUAAAAACAAUUUUAAAAAUCACAGAUAGAUUACAGAUCAAAGUUGAAUAGCUGUUAGCAAGUUGAGGGAUGUCGGCUGGAGGGAGAGUGUUGACAGUCAUCCAUAAUGCAUAGCCUGCAAGCAUGUUCUCAAAUGUAUGAGGGACCAAGGAGGGGAAGAUGACAUUUUUAGAAUAAGGGUUUUAGUUUAAAUUAAUUAUGGUGUAAAAGCUCACUCUCUCUCUUUUUUUUGACUUCUUCCAAAUGCUGGAAAACAUGGAAUGCAGUGUAACAAGGCAGAAUGUGCAUGGAUUGUGUUAGUAGAAUGAGGUGCUAUAAUGCUUUGCUGGGUCUUACAUCCUCACUUUUGAAGGGAAAACUCCAAACAUAUGGGAAAGGGAAAUAUGAAGAAUUAAAUUUAAAUACUUGAAGUACCAUAGCACUACAAAGUGAGGUGUAGAAACUACUAAUCAGACUAAUAAUAGUUUAAGUGAAUACUACUGGACAGUGUUUCAUAUUUUACCUCUGUCAGGCAGUAAUGACAAAUCUAUUAAAUACUUCAAUAACUUUCAUAAUAAUUUUCAGUGAAUAGUGAAUUGCUGCAUUUCUGGCCCUUGAAACGGUCAAAUUCGAAAUAUAUAGAAUAAUGAGUGAGGUGACUGUUUACAACACCAAAUAAAUAAAUCCGAUAUCAAAGGAAUUUCUCAUGGUGAAGACACGCCAGCAAACCAGCAUCAGAGUCCGCAGCUGAUGAUGGGGAAACUUGUUUGAAAGCACUUUAUAUGUAGAGCUAUUUGGGGCUGCGUCCAAGAUAAGAACCUUAGCGCCCUGUGGGACCUGGGGAUAAAAAAGUCAGAGCUGGGCUUCAGUUCUUGCAGCAUCUGGAUGGAUUGCAGAUUUGUGAGCCCUGCAGUUUCUUAGACUUUCUCCGACUACUAAGACCAAUGAGUAAAAGCUGAAAAGCUGUGUUUAACCAUCCUAAAGAGUGCGACUUUUCCCCAUGUUCAGUGUUAAGGCACAGGAUUAUAAAAACCAAAUCAAACAGAAACCUUUCAGAUGUCCUACCUACACCUCAUUUUGAGGAAAGAGAAGUGUUAGCUAGGUUCUCAUUUGAUUAUGAUCCUGCAGUAUUGUCUGUUGUGGAACCCUAAAAGAAAAAGACUAAGCUAUGUCAUGAAUUUAUUACCCCUGUCAACUAUCAUGUACAAUGAGACAUGAUUAAUACCACUAAAUUGGCCAGAGUGGAAAUGUCAAAGCCCGUGCCAUCCUUGAACUCGAAGGCUAAUGGUACACAUUUCUAUAAUAUUCCUUCACCAUUUUAUUUACUUCAGUGUUCUUCCUUUUAGGUCUGAAGACACCCAGCCUGGUUUACAGAAUAUGUUAGGUGCAUUGAUUCAGCUUCCAGGGAACUUUUUUUGGAGUGUGGCUCCAGUGUGGAUGUGAGCAGGGACUAGAAAUGCCCUUUUACUUCUUGACAUGCUAUUUCCACAGUGUUUCUUCCUUAGCGUCAUGCAUCACGUCGUGGACAAUGAUGACAUGCACUUGCCUGCCUAAUAGUGACAAGAAUGAUCUCUCUAACCCCUUCCAGGCACGAAGUGGUCUCUGGGAUGAGUCUGCUAAUGAUGAAACCAUACCGAGGGUCAAGAUAAAGCGGUGAUCUCUUGGCUGAAGAUCUGAUUCAUGGCUUAUGAUAAAGAGGCAGUGCGCUAUACUGCCUCGGAUAUCAGAGAUGCCAGUGCUUACAGCAGCUGGAAUUGGACUCGUGAAAAUAAAGGUGUGUAACUAGUUAGAGAUAUAGUAAAGCUUUAACUUUGCUGGUCAAAUUGUAACUAUCAUAAUAGUAUUUAUUGAUGAAGCUCACGGUCCUUCCAUUGUACAGAUUGAAAAACUUCCUUGAAAGUUCCAACAUACUGAUGUAAAUUAUAUUUAUUGCAAUGUAUAAUAUUAAUAUGUCACAUUGGUGUAUUUUACAUAAUGUAUGAUGCAAAAAAAUGAGUUACUGUAUAUUAUGAUGCUUUUCAAAUAUCAGUAUCUUGAAAUGUUUUAAGUUUUUAGAUUUUUUUUUAUCUAAAAUAUGAAAAUCUGUUUUGUGAUACAAGUGAUUCAUUUUCUCUAGAAAUGCUUUUGCACGUUUAUCUUUUUAUUUAGGGUUCUUCCUACAUAGACACAGUUUGGUGUCAAACUUUCAUUAGGAUCAAUAGUAAAUACAGAAUAUCUUAGCCAAACUGGGUCUGUAUUGGCUACAUUUUAUAUACUGUUAUAGAAGUGUUUAUAUUGUCUUUUCAAUACAUUUGGAAUUAUAUCCCCAAAUACAGUCAGAGCUUCCCAUUUCUAAGUGCAAAAGUUUUGUCCUAAAUUCAGACGACAUCACUUAUGUUUUAGAACUCUGAUGAGAUGGGCACUAUAGACACAAUAUUAGCAUUUAAGGAAAUACUUAAGGGAGAUGGAGAGAGAAAGAGACAGCUGGUAUAAUCAAUUACUCUGCUCAAUUCUGCUUCAGUUUUUAUGUUAUGUUUCUUCUUAAGGUGAAAUAGCAUAAUCUUAAUUUCUUUGAGAUGAAGUUUCUAAGUAACACACUACCAGCAAGUUCAACAUUGCUAGUGAUUUUAAUGUUUUCUCUGUUCAUUUGAUAACUUUAAUUCCAACUUUUACAAUAAUAUCUAUAUAUUAUUUGCUGAAUCCUGUUACAGUUUUAAAAUAAAUUCUGUUGUACAUGGUAUUGUACACAUCAUUACAAAUUAAUAUGAAGGGGAAUAUAUAUUACAUAUCAAAAAAUUGUGAAUUUGAACUCUAGUAUGUGUUAGUGCUUUUGCAAAAAUGUUUAUUUUUAUAAUAUCUGUGAUUUUAAUAUAGGUAAUUGAACUAGAUUUCUUUGUGAUGAAUAGUGCCAUUGAAUGACUGGUAUGGAAACAGUGUUACUUGACAUUUUGUGCUUUCUCAGGUUUAUCUGUAUCAAUGGUAGCUUAACAGAUUCCAGACUAAUUGUGCAUAAUUGUGUUUUAAAAGGAAUGUGCAUUUCCUAUAAGUUUGCAUGCAGGAGUGUACAACUUGGAGUGUGUGUGUGUGUCCACAGCAUGGCAGCCAGCUUUGUAUCUGCUGUUGAUAAUGACAGCAGAGCUUUGGCAUCAUCGUGGUCAUUAGAAUUAUACCCACCAUAGACAAUUAAAACCGAAAAAAUCUCAAUAAAACUAUGAAAUGUG